rnacentral:rRNA from 1 species
GUGCCAGCAGCCGCGGUAAUACGUAGGGUGCGAGCGUUGUCCGGAAUUAUUGGGCGUAAAGAGCUCGUAGGCGGUCUGUCGCGUCGAAUGUGAAAACCCGGGGCUCAACUCCGGGCUUGCAUUCGAUACGGGCAGGCUAGAGUUCGGUAGGGGAGUCUGGAAUUCCUGGUGUAGCGGUGAAAUGCGCAGAUAUCAGGAGGAACACCGGUGGCGAAGGCGGGACUCUGGGCCGAUACUGACGCUGAGGAGCGAAAGCGUGGGGAGCGAACAGGAUUAGAUACCCUCGUAGUCC